AUCAAACUGUCUGAUUGUGUACAAAUAACGCCGGUGGCACCACCUUGCGCACGAAUAACGAAAACUUUCACGAAGUUAGUGAUCGAUUCAUGUAAGUACACUAGUUGCAUGGCCUUACAAAAAGACGGUUUUAUGCGAAAUAUAGUGAGAGAAUAACUUGAUUCGUCAAUAAUUAGUGCUAUAACGAUGAUGUACUGAAAUUAUUAAUAUGAAUUAAUUUUAAAUCAUUCAACAUAGAAACAUAUGCAAUUGGUGUGUUUGCUUUGUCAUUGACCUUAAGUGGAAUAUAACAUAUGAUUCUUAUAGAUUCUUAUAGAUAUGUAUAAGUAUUAAAAAUGUGAAAAAGUAUAAUUGACUUCUAAACGUAAUAUGUUACUGAAUAUCUUAUUAAAUUCAAUCGCACAUAUUCUUAUAAGCUCUAAUCUUAAAUUUCUCAUCAUGUGAAUUGCAGUUAUUCCAAUAAAUAAAGUUUUAUUACAUACCGUUGCAGAAAAAUAUGAAUAGCAAUAUCAAUAUCAUGGAAUUCCUUGUUAUUUAACAUCUAUAAAAUGUUUAUCAAAGUCAAAGGAAAACUGAUAUUGAAUGUGUAACACAAAUCGCACAGUGAUUAACCUAUCCCCUUCAAAUGUUUUUCAAAUUGAGGUCAAAAGUGUAUACACAUGAGCAUUUGGUAACAAAUAUCAAUGAAUCUACUAUUAGCAUUUGGAAUGAUCUUAUCGAUAUUUAAAAUAGACACGGUUAAUGUGAAAGCCAUCUUACGUACACAGGAACACGAAAUGAUUAAUACAUUAUGUCAAAAUCGAACACAAUGUUAAAUAUGAACAAAAAUUAAGUAGCUUUAAUCCGUAUAAUUAAUUUUGGUUUAUAUCUCAAUAUACUUUACAUAUCUCAAAAUCAAAGACAAAUUGACCGAUACAUUCUGAACGCGCUGACAAAGUUUCUCAAUUUGUUCGCGGGAUAUCUUAUGUAUCGUAUAGAACAGUACGCGUGUAAACAUAUAUUAAUUGUUUUCAUUAAUUAUAAAUGUGUAUUUUAUAAAAGUUUGUUGUAUUAAACGUAGAUUCUAUUUAGCUUUAUAAUAUAAUUCUAUUAUGCUGUAAAGAUAAAAAUGAAUAAAAUUAAUGUUUUUCAAAUUUAACAGAACUCAAUAACUAUACAAAAUUUUACUAUAAAAUGACGUAUAAAACAACACUAAAAUAAUGAAACUCAAAGUAAUCGGAUCCUAAAAAUUUCUAUACAUUUCUUUGCAAUUACAUUACUUAUAGAACGUAUAUUGAUAAAUCUAUAAUUUUGUAAUGUGACUUAAAGUAAAAGUUACAUCCUGAACUAACAAGUUUUCCUUGUUUCUUGUUGAAAUUCAUGAGUAGUUGCAUUUGACAGAAUUAAUUUAUCAUUAGAACAGGAUAUAGCUGCAUAAAGCAUUUCCACAUUGCAAUCAGAGAUUCAUUACGAAAAAUUGAUGCUGAAGGAAAAAAGUCGUGGCCGACAGCUGAAGAAAAAUGAUUCGUGCACAUGCCUCGGCUGGAUUAGACCCAAUACAUGUUUAGAAUAGCGCAGCGACCUCCAUCGCCUCGCAGGCAAAGAAAAUAAUCGUUGCUCCAGUUGGAUGUGCGCCAGCAAAUGUAGCUCCUUUUUAAGUUUGCCCUUCGAGCGUAGCCUUGACUUUCAGGCCGUAAAACGUGUGUAUAUCUCUACCCGGUAUCUUGCACCUGCUUCCCAAGGUGUGCAUGCGAAGAAGCUUUUGAUCGUAAGAAAAAUUUGGCCCAGCCGUGAAAGGAUCUUAAUUUAUUUACGAUACGAUGCGCUAUGUGCGGCGGAACCGAUUAUUCCGACACUAUACGCAUCAUUUUGCAGCAGGCCUCCAAGUGUUUUCCCGGACCACACCUUCGCAAAGGGCGUUUUUCGAUAAUGAAUUAUACCGACGAUGCGUUUCCGCGGAAGGACCAUCGUGUACUCCUUUUUAUAAAUUUCACUAAUGAUGGCGUGGUAACCAAAAGCACGCCUGGAUGAGUCGUAAGAAUAUCCAAACGACUCCAGCGAGAGCCAAGUACGAACAAGCGGUGUACACCAUGCUUAUAAAAUCGACCGAGAUCUGCUGGUACUUCAUACCGA